rfam:Operophtera brumata OBRT01_Sc02394, whole genome shotgun sequence.
UGACAGGCUCUUUUUAGAGCCACAUAUAACAGGGUGUAAAAAAUAA